GAGAAGACCCGAGGCCUCUGCUACGAACACUGGCAGCCGAUGGAAAAUUCAGACGGAUUUGGGACAGUAUGCAGAGUUCUCCAAGCGACAGAUUAACAGAGGCUCUUGAAGAAUAACUGCGUAAUCACGUGUUCUGCUCAAAAGAAGGCCUGAAUGCCCAGUGCCUUAUUUGGCUUUCAGGGGUCUUGCGGUGUCACCCAGGCUAGAGUACAGUGGUGCAAUCAUAGCUCACUGCUGCCUCAAACUCCUAGACUCAAGCAAUCCUCCUGCUUCAGCCUCCCGAGUAGCUGGGACUACAGGUAGAUGAUGGGCUCCACGGGAACAGAGCAAACGUUCGCUCCUGCUCCUACACGGUGUUUCCUCUAAACCUGAGGCUCAGCCGACUUGUCAUCACUUAAAACCCAAUUCAGAGCGGGGGGGCACUGCCAGUGAAUAGUUCAUCACCGACUCAGUUUCCCCAUGUGUAUGCUGUGGUAUUGGAUCAGCAACGAGAUAAGAAGAUCUCUCCCAUUUCCAAGCGUCUAUGAUGAUUCUGAGGCACAAGGUCACAUUUGACAGUACUAGGAAACCCAGGAAACAAGAAGCAAAGAUGACAAAGGCUGUGUCUGCCUGGGCAGACGAUCUAUUUGGACAAGAUAAUAGACCCAGGCAUGGACAUGCUCUCCAAGAAAGAUGCCCUGACAGCUGCUCACACUGAAGCUGAAUCGAACAUUCCAAUCCUUAGAGGUUCCAGCGAAGAUCUUGAAGUCUCCCUGAGCCAUUGACACAAUGGCCAUGCCAUCCCAGUGAUAAAACACAAAUUGUGGCCUUGUUUUGGACAGAAAUAAAGAGCCCAGUUUGUUAGUGAUUUACUGAUAAUAACUGAAUCGAGUACUAAUACUUGGCGAUUUUAAAAGCCAUCAUGUUAAAAAGACCACCUGAUUCCCAGUGACCCUGCAGUGACUGGGUUUGGGCAGCUCGUCCCCUGCACCUGUUUGGGGCUGUGCCAGCCACUUCCAGUGAGAACAUCGCAUUAACUUGCGGUCGCAGACCUGGCUGGACCCCUUGAACCAAAUUCCUUUCUGACCUUAUCAGACCCCAAAUAAAAGAGCUCACCAGGCCCCUCAGCCUACGUGACCCACCUGCCCAGUGAAAAAAGUAGGGCCCUGUUCUGUUCUCUGAGGAUGGUCAGUGUGCUCUUUGAUGAAAACGGUUUCUAAGCUGAGGCCUGAGACCUAGAUCAUUGUUCUCACAGCGUGUGCUUGACCAGCCACACCAGAAGCACCCAGGCUGCUGGCUAAAAACACUGAUGCUGGGGCCCACCCUAGCCCCUGGGUAGGGGGUAGAGACCUAAGGUUUGGCAUUUUUACAAGCUCCUAGGGUGAUUCUUAGAUGCCCUGAUGAUUGAGAACCACUGCUCGAGCUUCUUAAAUGGCUGCUGAAGAAUGAUU
rnacentral:lncRNA from 1 species